rnacentral:rRNA from 1 species
GACGAACGCUGGCGGCGCGCCUAAAACAUGCAAGUCGAACGAGAAGCCCGGGCUUGCCCGGGUGGACAGUGGCGAACGGGUGAGUAACACGUGAGGAACCUGCCCCGAAGACCGGGACAACACCGGGAAACCGGUGCUAAUACUGGAUGCCCUCAUUGGACCGCAUGAUCCGGUGAGGAAAUGGAUUCUGCUUCGGGAUGGCUUCGCGGCCUAUCAGCUUGUUGGUGGGGUAAUGGCCCACCAAGGCGACGAUGGGUAGCUGGUCUGAGAGGAUGUCCAGCCACACUGGGACUGAGACACGGCCCAGACUCUUACGGGAGGUAGUAGUUAGGAAUCUUGCGCAAUGGACGAAAGUCUGACGCAGCGACGCCGCGUGCGGGAUGAAUGUUUUCGGGUUGUAAACCGCUUUCAGUAGGGACGAAAUUGACGGUACCUGUAGAAGAAGCCCUGGUCAACUAUGUGCCAGCCGCCGCAGUAAGAC